UACAGAGGGUGCAAGCGUUAAUCGGAAUUACUGGGCGUAAAGCGUGCGUAGUCGGUUAUCUAAGUCGGAUGUGAAAUCCCCGGGCUCAACCUGGGAAUUGCAUUCGAUACUGGAUAGCUAGAGUUCGGCAGAGGGAAGUGGAAUUUCGGGUGUAGCGGUGAAAUGCGUAGAUAUCCGAAGGAACAUCAGUGGCGAAAGCGGCUUCCUGGUCCAGCACCGACGUUCAGGCACGAAAGCGUGGGGAGCAAACAGG
rnacentral:rRNA from 1 species